GGAGUUUCUCAGUCGGGGGCAUAGAGCGCUGCGCAGGUGUGCCCUUUGAAAUUUAGGCGGUUUUAUGUUAUUCAGGGACUUGCGGUUAUACUCCAUUAUUUUUGGUGUGUUGACGUCUUGCUUAGGGGGGGAGGGCGAAAGCUACGUAUGUGAUCGAUUUUUGAGUGCUCAGUCUAAUGGGCAUUCGAGGUUCUGGUGAUGUCUGGUCUUGGC